AGACGGUUAUGCAAGUCUGAUGUGAAAGCCUUCGGCUUAACCGGAGUAGUGCAUUGGAAACUGGGAGACUUGAGUGCAGAAGAGGAGAGUGGAACUCCAUGUGUAGCGGUGAAAUGCGUAGAUAUAUGGAAGAACACCAGUGGCGAAAGCGGCUCUCUGGUCUGUAACUGACGCGGAGGUUCGAAAGCGUGGGUAGC
rnacentral:rRNA from 1 species